AGGCGAGUCAGGGAAUUAAACAGCAGCAACACUAAAAAGUUCCUAGAAGAAAGAAAGAGACUUGCGAUGAAGCAGUCCAAGGAAAUGGAUCAAUUGAAAAAAGUCCAACUCGAGCACCUCGAAUUUCUAGAGAAACAGAAUGAGCAGCUUUUGAAAUCCUGUCAUGCAGUGUCCCAAACACAAGGCGAAGGAGAUGCAGCAGAUGGUGAGAUUGGAAGCCGAGAUGGACCGCAGACCAGCAACAGUAGUGUGAAACUCCAGAAUGCAAACUGAAGCGGGAAAAGCAGGAAACAUCGGGAGAUCACCUCCAGCUUCUGAACACAGACUCCAUGGCCAAAAGCUGUUUUCCUUUGUUUCCUUUAUGUUUAGACACAGUGUUACCUGAACCACAGAGACUGGGGAAGACAACAUUCUGUUUAACAACUUGAGUAUUGAAUUCCCUUGGCCAACCAAAAGUAGCUAUGAAUCCACAAAAAUCUCCUAUUUCCAUUAGGCAGAGUUGAACCACUGAUAACACAACUUAAACAUGUUUGCU